rnacentral:rRNA from 1 species
UACAGAGGUCUCAAGCGUUGUUCGGAUUCAUUGGGCGUAAAGGGUGCGUAGGCGGUUUGUCGCGUCUGCUGUGAAAACUCGGGGCUUAACUCCGGGCCUGCAGUGGGUACGGGCAGACUAGAGUGCGGUAGGGGAGACUGGAAUUCCUGGUGUAGCGGUGAAAUGCGCAGAUAUCAGGAGGAACACCGGUGGCGAAGGCGGGUCUCUGGGCCGUAACUGACGCUGAGGAGCGAAAGCGUGGGGAGCAAACAGG